UACGUAGGGGGCAAGCGUUGUCCGGACUGACUGGGCGUAAAGCGUGCGUAGGUGGUUCGUUAAGUCUGAUGUGAAAGCCCUGGGCUCAACCUGGGAAUGGCAUUGGAAACUGGCGACCUAGAGUGCGGUAGAGGGUAGUGGAAUUCCCGGUGUAGCAGUGAAAUGCGUAGAGAUCGGGAGGAACAUCCGUGGCGAAGGCGACUACCUGGACCAGCACUGACACUGAGGCACGAAAGCGUGGGGAGCAAACAGGG
rnacentral:rRNA from 1 species